AUUCCAGCUCCAAUAGCGUAUAUUAAAGUUGUUGCAGUUAAAAAGCUCGUAGUUGGAGUUCAGAGUGAGCUCAAUCGGUCGGGAUUAUGUCUCAGAACUGGUUGACUCUCUCUUGUUUGUGGAUCCUGUUCGGAGUUAACUCUUCGGAUGUGGAGUCCACAUCGUUUACCUUGAAAAAAUUAGAGUGUUCAAAGCAGGCGUUUGCUUGAAUAUAUUAGCAUGGAAUAAUGGAAUAGGACGCUGGUUCUAUUUUGUUGGUUUUGAGAACCAGAGUAAUGAUUAAUAGGGACAGUUGGGGGCAUUCAUAUUUCAUUGUCAGAGGUGAAAUUCUUGGAUUUAUGAAAGAUGAACUUCUGCGAAAGCAUUUGCCAAGGAUGUUUUCAUUG
rnacentral:rRNA from 1 species